AACGCAAGUUGCGCCCGAAGCCAUUAGGUUGAAGGCACGUCUGCCUGGGCGUCACGCAUUGCGUCGCCCACUCACCCCGUGCCUCAAUAGGGCGGGUAAGUGAGUGGGCGGAUAUUGGCCCCCUGUUCACAUUUGCUGCUCGGUCGGCCUAAAAUAAGGUCCCCAACGAUGGACAUCACGACAAGUGGUGGUUGCCAAACCGUCGCGUCAUGUCGUGCAUGCCAUUUUUUGUCGUGGGCUGGCUCACCGACCCUUAAGUACCAUCGACUGUGGUACCUCAAUUGCGACCCCAGGUCAGGCGGGAUUACCCGCUGAGUUUAG
rnacentral:rRNA from 1 species